UACGUAGGGGGCAAGCGUUAUCCGGAUUUACUGGGUGUAAAGGGAGCGUAGACGGCGAUGCAAGCCAGGAGUGAAAGCCCGGGGCCCAACCCCGGGACUGCUCUUGGAACUGCGUGGCUGGAGUGCAGGAGGGGCAGGCGGAACUCCUGGUGUAGCGGUGAAAUGCGUAGAUAUCAGGAGGAACACCGGUGGCGAAGGCGGCCUGCUGGACUGCAACUGACGUUGAGGCCCGAAAGCGUGGGGAGCAAACAGG
rnacentral:rRNA from 1 species